rnacentral:tRNA from 1 species
UCCCUAGUGGUGUAAAUGGUUAAGCAUUUGGCUACUAACCAAAAGGAUGGUGGUUCAUAUCCACCCAGAGGCA